AUUGAUGAUGAGCAACGGGUCUGCCGAGGCUGCUCGACGGGGUAGCCCAUGAGGAGCCGUUGGAGCACUGAUG
rnacentral:snoRNA from 1 species